UACAGAGGUCUCAAGCGUUGUCCGGAAUUAUUGGGCGUAAAGGGCUCGUAGGCGGUCUGUCGCGUCGGUAGUGAAAACUCAGGGCUUAACCCUGAGCCUGCUUCCGAUACGGGCAGACUAGAGGUAUGCAGGGGAGAAUGGAAUUCCUGGUGUAGCGGUGAAAUGCGCAGAUAUCAGGAGGAACACCAGUGGCGAAGGCGGUUCUCUGGGCAUUACCUGACGCUGAGGAGCGAAAGUGUGGGGAGCGAACAGG
rnacentral:rRNA from 1 species